rnacentral:lncRNA from 1 species
AAACAGAUCAGCACAGAAAAGGAAACAGUUGAGAACCUUCAACAAGCUACUGCCGACAAUAUCUUGGUUGAAGAAGCAACUAAAAUGAUCCACCAAGAACGUAAGAUCAAGGUUGAAGAAAAUCAACGAGAUAAUGAAGUCACAAAUGGACAGGUCGGAUAGAGAAUCAGACAACUUGCUUUCCUUUUUUGAGUUUUUAUUUAUUUUUUGCUUUUCUAAAAAGUGUAGAAACAUUUAUAAUUGUUAACUGAGAGGGAAAAAAUAACAGAUCAUGGAAGAGAAUGAUGACAAGAAAUGUGAGGAAAUAACCAACGAUGAAGACAGAGCUAAAGAGAGCUACCAAGAUCACGAGAUAAAGGGUGCAGAAAGUCUCGGAGACGAGGCAUUGACAACGGCAACACAAGAUGAAAGA